GUGACUACCUCUCCCGCCAGGGAUCGAAUGCCGAGAGCGUGUGGACGCAGAUCAUCAGCCGAGUUCACCAGGUUUUGUCCCAUUGGCCAGCGAGGGCCGUUUGGAGCCUGUAGCUGGUCCAGUUCCUCAUCAUUACCCAGAAUCCUCCAGCAGCAUCAGGCUGCCCGAGGCCUUCACUUCUCCUGCCACACACUUCAGCCCCAUAAUACUGACUCAUCACCCGCAGUCUGAGCUGAUUGUCAGUGGACGCUCUGUUGAGGACAUCACGGAUGAAACGAUCCUGCGAGAGGCAGAUGAACAGGAAGAGAGUGCCGCUGAGGAUGAUGAGACGGCUGGUGUUUUCUCUGUCGGUUAUUCAUCAUCAUCCAGCUGUAAGACUCCUGUGAAUUCACCGCCUCCAGCGACUCCCCAAAUAACCAAUCAAGAAACAGAAGACCAGCCACACUUCCCUGCCUUCUCCUGUGCUAAUGGGAUUUGUAACAACUUCCUUCUACAGCAAGACCCCUUGACAAGAAGUCUGACCCUACUUCCUGUUCAGAUCGCCAUGCUUCAGCCAAUCACAGGCACGGAUGAGGCUUCUGAUGGCAGUGUGAGGAAUGAAAGCGUCUGUUUGACCCACAGAGACUCAGCAGUGUCUCCUGAAAGUCCAGUGACAGAUAUAGGACUUCAGCCCAACGCUGCGCCUCACUGUGUGAACCUCAGCCCGUCACGCUCGCGUCUGCAGCACAUCAUUGAGCUGCUCAGAGAACAGUUUGCUUUUAAUGGCUACCUGAAGAAUGGAGUCCAAGCUCUGGCUAUGGGUAAAAAAUUAAUUCGCUUUUUUUAAAGACUUAUUUAAACUUUUCUGCAUAUUUUACUAAUACU
rnacentral:lncRNA from 1 species